rnacentral:rRNA from 1 species
GACGGGUGAGUAACGCGUGGGAACGUGCCUUCUGGUCUGGAAUAACACUGGGAAACUAGGGCUAAUACCGGAUACGCCCUUUUGGGGAAAGGUUUACUGCCGGAAGAUCGGCCCGCGUCUGAUUAGCUAGUUGGUGGGGUAACGGCCUACCAAGGCUUUGACGGGUAGCCGGCCUGAGAGGGUGACCGGCCACAUUGGGACUGAGAUACGGCCCAGACUCCUACGGGAGGCAGCAGUGGGGAAUAUUGCACAAUGGGCGGAAGCCUGAUGCAGCAACGCCGCGUGCGGGAUGACGGCCUUCGGGUUGUAAACCGCUUUCGCCUGUGACGAAGCGUGAGUGACGGUAAUGGGUAAAGAAGCACCGGCUAACUACGUGCCAGCAGCCGCGGUAAU